rnacentral:rRNA from 1 species
AGCAGCCGCGGUAAUUCCAGCUCCAAUAGCGUAUAUUAAAGUUGUUGCAGUUAAAAAGCUCGUAGUUGAAUUUCGGGAUUGACACAUCGGUCGUGCCUUAAGGGGCGUGAACUGGUGUAGUCAAUUUCUCACCUUCUGGAGAACCGCGAUGUCCUUAAUUGGGUGCCGCGAGGAACCAGGACCUUUACUUUGAAAAAAUUAGAGUGUUUAAAGCAGGCAUUUUUGCUUGAAUACAUUAGCAUGGAAUAAUAAAAUAGGACGGCAUGAUUCUAUUUUGUUGGUUUCUAGGAUCACCGUAAUGAUUAAUAGGGAUAGUUGGGGGCAUUAGUAUUCAAUUGUCAGAGGUGAAAUUCUUGGAUUUAUUGAAGACUAACUACUGCGAAAGCAUUUGCCAAGGAUGUUUUCAUUAAUCAAGAACGAAAGUUAGGGGAUCGAAGACGAUCAGAUACCGUCGUAGUCUUAACCAUAAACUAUGCCGACUAGGAAUCAGACGAUGUUAAUUUUUAAUGACUCGUUUGGC